GAUGAACGCUGACAGAAUGCUUAACACAUGCAAGUCUACUUGAUUUAUGGUUUCGGCCGUAAUGAUGGUGGCGGACGGGUGAGUAACGCGUAAAGAAUCUGCCCUUUAGUCUGGGAUAACAGUUGGAAACGACUGCUAAUACCGGAUAUUAUGGAAUCAUCGCAUGAUGAGAUCAUGAAAGCUAUAUGCGCUAGAGGAGGACUUUGCGUCCCAUUAGCUAGUUGGUGAGGUAACGGCUCACCAAGGCGACGACGGGUAGCCGGCCUGAGAGGGUGAUCGGCCACAAGGGAACUGAGACACGGUCCUUACUCCUACGGGAGGCAGCAGUGGGGAAUAUUGGACAAUGGGCCACAAGCCUGAUCCAGCAAUUCUGUGUGCACGAUGAAGGUCUUCGGAUUGUAAAGUGCUUUCAGUAGGGAAGAAUAAAAGACGGUACCUACAGAAGAAGCGACGGCUAAAUAUGUGCCAGCAGCCGCCGUAAAAC
rnacentral:rRNA from 1 species